CCUGCAAAAACUGAGGUUGAGU
rnacentral:miRNA from 15 species